GAUUAACGCUGGCGGCGUGCAUAACACAUGCAAGUCGAACGAUGAAACUUAAAUGAUUUCUUCGGAAUGAACUUAAGUGGAUUAGUGGCGGACGGGUGAGUAACGCGUGAGUAACCUGCCUUACACAAGGGGAUAGCCGUUGGAAACGGCGAAUAAUACCCUAUGAUGUUUCUAUCUCGCAUGAGAUAUUAACCAAAGUGUUAGCGGUGUAAGAUGGACUUGCGUCUGAUUAGCUAGUUGGUGAGAAAAAAGCCCACCAAGGCAACGAUCAGUAGCCGGCUUGAGAGAGUGUACGGCCACAUUGGGACUGAGACACGGCCCAGACUCCUACGGGAGGCAGCAGUGGGGAAUUUUGCACAAUGGGGGAAACCCUGAUGCAGCGACGCCGCGUGAUUUAGAAGGCCUUCGGGUUGUAAAAAUCUUUUGUAUAGGAAGAAAAUGACAGUACUAUACGAAUAAGGUCCGGCUAAUUACGUG
rnacentral:rRNA from 1 species